AACACGUGUGCAACCUGCCUUUAUCAGGGGGAUAGCCUUUCGAAAGGAAGAUUAAUACCCCAUAAUAUAUUGAUUGGCAUCAAUUAAUAUUGAAAACUCCGGUGGAUAGAGAUGGGCACGCGCAAGAUUAGAUAGUUGGUGAGGUAACGGCUCACCAAGUCAGUGAUCUUUAGGGGGCCUGAGAGGGUGAUCCCCCACACUGGUACUGAGACACGGACCAGACUCCUACGGGAGGCAGCAGUGAGGAAUAUUGGACAAUGGGUGAGAGCCUGAUCCAGCCAUCCCGCGUGAAGGACGACGGUUCUAUGGAUUGUAAACUUCUUUUAUACUGGGAUAAACCUACCCUCGUGAGGGUAGCUGAAGGUACAGUAUGAAUAAGCACCGGCUAACUCCGUGCCAGCAGCCGCGGUAAUACGGAGGGUGCAAGCGUUAUCCGGAUUUAUUGGGUUUAAAGGGUCCGUAGGCGGAUCUGUAAGUCAGUGGUGAAAUCUCAUAGCUUAACUAUGAAACUGCCAUUGAUACUGCAGGUCUUGAGUAAAGUAGAAGUGGCUGGAAUAAGUAGUGUAGCGGUGAAAUGCAUAGAUAUUACUUAGAACACCAAUUGCGAAGGCAGGUCACUAUGUUUUAACUGACGCUGAUGGACGAAAGCGUGGGGAGCGAACAGGAUUAGAUACCCUGGUAGUCCACGCCGUAAACGAUGCUAACUCGUUUUUGGGUUUUCGGAUUCAGAGACUAAGCGAAAGUGAUAAGUUAGCCACCUGGGGAGUACGUUCGCAAGAAUGAAACUCAAAGGAAUUGACGGGGGCCCGCACAAGCGGUGGAUUAUGUGGUUUAAUUCGAUGAUACGCGAGGAACCUUACCAAGGCUUAAAUGGGAAUUGACAGGUUUAGAAAUAGACUUUUCUUCGGACAAUUUUCAAGGUGCUGCAUGGUUGUCGUCAGCUCGUGCCGUGAGGUGUUAGGUUAAGUCCUGCAACGAGCGCAACCCCUGUCACUAGUUGCCAUCAUUCAGUUGGGGACUCUAGUGAGACUGCCUACGCAAGUAGAGAGGAAGGUGGGGAUGACGUCAAAUCAUCACGGCCCUUACGCCUUGGGCCACACACGUAAUACAAUGGCCAGUACAGAGGGCAGCUACCAGGCGACUGGAUGCGAAUCUCGAAAGCUGGUCUCAGUUCGGAUUGGAGUCUGCAACUCGACUCUAUGAAGCUGGAAUCGCUAGUAAUCGCGCAUCAGCCAUGGCGCGGUGAAUACGUUCCCGGGCCUUGUACACACCGCCCGUCAAGCCAUGGAAGUCUGGGGUACCUGAAGUCGGUGACCGUAACAGGAGCUGCCUAGGGUAAAACAGGUAACU
rnacentral:rRNA from 1 species